ensembl:lncRNA
UUGUUGUUGCAGUUGUUGUUGAUGUUGGAGCAGGUGUAGUUGAUGAGACAGCUGUAGUGGUUGAUGUUUGAGCUGUUGUUGUAGUAGUUGCAUCUGUGGUUGUUGUAGUGGCAGAUGUAGUUGUUGUGGCUGUAUCUGUAGUUGACGUGGGUGCAGUUGUUGUUGAUGUGGCAGGUUCUGUGGUUGUUGUGGCAGUUGUAUUUGUUGUUGAUGUUUGAGCUGCUGUUGGAGCAACUGUGGUUGUUGUGGCACCUGCCGUGUUUGUUGUUACAGUUGUUGUUGGAGCAGGUGUAGUUGAUGAGACAGCUGUUGUUGUUGUUGGAGCAGGUGUGGUUGUUGUACUGGCAGAUGUAGUUGUUGUGGCUGUAUCUGUGGUUGAAGUGGGUGCAGUUAUAGUUGAUGUGGCAUGUUCUGUGAUUGUUGUGGCAGCUACAGUUGUUGUGGGAAGUGCUGUGGUUGACAUGGUUGCUGCUGUUGUUGUUGGAGCAACUGUGGUUGUAGUGGCACCUGCCAUGUUUGUUGUUGCAGUUG